GUGAGCGUAUUUCAAUGCUAAAACAUCUCCUUGCCAAGGAGAAGAUACGGGUUCUAUUCCCGCCGCUCGCC
rnacentral:tRNA from 1 species